rnacentral:rRNA from 1 species
AGAGGUUUGAUCCUGGCUCAGAUUGAACGCUGGCGGCAGGCCUAACACAUGCAAGUCGAGCGGUAGCACAGAGAGCUUGCUCUCGGGUGACGAGCGGCGGACGGGUGAGUAAUGUCUGGGAAACUGCCUGAUGGAGGGGGAUAACUACUGGAAACGGUAGCUAAUACCGCAUAAUGUCGCAAGACCAAAGUGGGGGACCUUCGGGCCUCAUGCCAUCAGAUGUGCCCAGAUGGGAUUAGCUAGUAGGUGGGGUAACGGCUCACCUAGGCGACGAUCCCUAGCUGGUCUGAGAGGAUGACCAGCCACACUGGAACUGAGACACGGUCCAGACUCCUACGGGAGGCAGCAGUGGGGAAUAUUGUACAAUGGGCGCAAGCCUGAUGCAGCCAUGCCGCGUGUGUGAAGAAGGCCUUCGGGUUGUAAAGCACUUUCAGCGGGGAGGAAGGCGUUAAGGUUAAUAACCUUGGCGAUUGACGUUACCCGCAGAAGAAGCACCGGCUAACUUCGUGCCAGCAGCCGCGGUAAUACGGAGGGUGCAAGCGUUAAUCGGAAUUACUGGGCGUAAAGCGCACGCAGGCGGUCUGUCAAGUCGGAUGUGAAAUCCCCGGGCUUAACCUGGGAACUGCAUUCGAAACUGGCAGGCUAGAGUCUUGUUGAGGGGGGUAGAAUUCCAGGUGUAGCGGUGAAAUGCGUAGAGAUCUGGAGGAAUACCGGUGGCGAAGGCGGCCCCCUGGACAAAGACUGACGCUCAGUGCGAAAGCGUGGGGAGCAAACAGGAUUAGAUACCCUGGUAGUCCACGCCGUAAACGAUGUCGAUUUGGAGGUUGUGCCCUGAGGCGUGGCUUCCGGAGCUAACGCGUUAAAUCGACCGCCUGGGGAGUACGGCCGCAAGGUUAAAACUCAAUGAAUUGACGGGGGCCCGCACAAGCGGUGGAGCAUGUGGUUUAAUUCGAUGCAACGCGAGAACCUUACCUGGUCUUGACAUCCACAGAACUUUCAGAGAUGGAUUGGUGCCUUCUGGAACUGUGAGACAGGUGCUGCAUGCUGUCGUCAGCUCCUGCUGGUGAAUGAUUGGGUAAGUACGCACGAGCGCAAUCCUUAUUCCUUUUGUGUCUACGGUCCGCCGGGACUCAAAAGAGAACUGCAGGCGAUAAAUGAGGAAAGAUG